AUAAUUAAAUAUAUAUUAAAAUUUAAAACCCUAUUCCCCUCCCUCACACUCACAGACUCACUUCCCUUACGCCUCAUUCCUCAGUCCACUGCCAUUCCUUCAUUCCUCACGACUCACGACUCACGACUCACAAGCACCCUCAGUCCCUCACUGCCAUUUCCAUUUCCCUCCCAGACUCGACAUGCACAAGCAUUCAAGCACCCUCACUGCCUGUCGACAGCCACCGGAGGCGGCCACCGCUUACUCCUCCUCUGUCCUUACACGCGGCUGGCGAAUUUGAGGACACCUGCUGAAAGAGUCAAAGCUAAGAUGAAACUUCAACUUUCACAAACAGGAUCCUUGAAAAUUGAGAGUCAAGAUAUUCCGAAUUUUGACGAACCACUUUUGGAUCACUCUUAUCCAAGUAGUGAAGCUAGUGUAAAACAGUCUGAGACUGUGACUCCUUAUGAAAAAGCUGGUCUUUUAAGUUGUCUCACUUUCUCUUGGCUAUCUCCUUUAUUUUUGUUAGGGUUCGAGAAAAAAACCUUAGACCUUGAUGAUAUCCCUCAAUUAGGUGCUUACAAUAGUGUAUUUGGUGCAUUCCCAGUGUUCCAAUCAAAGCUUCUUAAGUCAUCGUCAUUUGAUGAUAAGCACAGUGUUGGUGCUAGCAGUCAUAGGAGUUGUAGAGUUACUCAGUGUGGGCUUGCAAAGGCAUGUUUCAUUUCAGCUUGGAAGGAAAUUAUUUGGACAGCAGUCUUGGCAUUAAUCGAUACCCUAGCUCGGUUUGUUUCUCCAUAUCUCAUUGAUAGUUUUGUUCAAUGCCUUAAUGGGAGGGAGGAAUACAAAUAUCAAGGUUAUGUUCUUGCGUUCAUCUUUUGUGCUGCGACUUUCCUUGAGGUUUUCAUACGUAGGCACUGGGUCUUUAAAAUGCAACAAGUUGGAAUUAGGCUUCGUGCAGUAAUCACUGUAAUGCUGUAUAAUAAGACUUUGACUCUCCCCUCUUAUUCAACAUCACAAUUAGAAGGAAGUCAGGCUAGUAGUGCUAGUGGAGGAGAACUUAUCAAUGCUGUUGCUGUUGAUGCUGAGACGAUCAAGGCUUUUGCGGUUUAUAUGCAUGAUACAUGGUUGAUCUUUGUGCAAAUAGUUUUAGCCUUGCUAAUAUUAAACAAGAAUUUGGGACUUCUUGCUACUUUUGGUGCUUUUCUAGUGACAUUUAGUUUUAUGUUAUCAAACUCCUUUUUUAUCAAAUGGCAAGAGAAGUUUCAAAAAAAACUGAUGGAAUCCAAGGACAAUAGAAUGAAGGUUACUAUGGAGACUUUAAAAAAUAUGAGGGUUCUUAAGUUUCAGGGUUGGGAAAUGAGUUUUUUGUCUAAGAUUCUUAAUCUCAGAAAUGUGGAGUUACAAUGGCUGAAAAAAUAUCUUUAUAGUUGGGUGCUGUUGGGUUUUUUCUAUGGGGUAGGUCCGACUUUUGUGGCUUUGGUCACCUUUGGUUCCUGUAUUUAUAUGGGAUCACCACUUGAACUGGGAAAGAUUUUAACUGCACUUGCUACCUUUCGGGUGCUUCAAGAGCCAAUCUUCCUACUUCCUGACACAAUUUCCUUGCUAAUCCAAGCUAAGGUUUCCUUUGGGAGAAUUGCCUCACAUCUUUCCCUUGACGAGCUCCAUGAUGAUGGGUUAGAGAAGCUACCAUUUUGUAAUUCUUAUCCAGCAGUUGAGAUUGUUGAUGGGAACUUCACUUGGGAUCAUAUUUCUUCAUCUGCCGUGGCAACACUAAAAAACAUAAAUCUGAAAAUUUCUCAUGGCAUGAAGGUUGGCAUUUGUGGGACACUUGGUUCGGGCAAGUCGAGCUUACUUUCUUGCAUUCUUGGUGAAAUGCCUAGGAUCUCAGGGGUAGUCAAGCUGUGUGGGACCAAGGCUUAUGUUUCUCAGUCACCUUGGAUACAAAGUGGAACAAUUAAAGAGAACAUACUAUUUGGAAAAGGAAUGGACUCAAUAAGAUAUGAGCAAGUCCUUGAAGCUUGUUGUCUCAAGAAGGACUUGGAAAUUCUCUCAUUUGGUGAUCAAACUGUUAUUGGUGAAAGAGGUAUCAACUUAAGUGGUGGACAAAAGCAGAGAAUACAAAUAGCACGUGCGCUCUACCACGAUGUGGAUAUCUAUAUCUUUGAUGACCCAUUUAGUGCUGUUGAUGCUCAUACGGGCUCUCAUUUAUUUAAGGAAGUCUUGCUUGGUUUUCUGAGCGGAAAGACUGUUAUUUAUGUUACUCAUCAAGUUGAGUUCGUAAAUGCUGCUGAUGUGAUUGUGGUCAUGAAUAACGGAGAGAUUGCACAAAUUGGAAAGUAUAAUGACAUUCUCGUUCCGGGGUCUGCUUUUAUACAACUUGUGGGUGCACAAAAUGCUGCUCUCUGUACACUUGAUUCCAACAAGGGGAAACCAGUAAGUGAUGAAAGUCCACAACAUGUUGAAGAUAGUUACAAUAAGAGCAAAUCCUUUGUAAAUGGUGAAGCAGACAAUGAGGGGGUUAUUGGUUUGCCACCUGCAGCACAACUUGUGAAAGAAGAAGAAAGAGAGAAAGGUAGUGUUGGGUUUUCAGUGUAUUGGAAAUACAUCACAACUGCAUAUGGAGGAGCAUUGAUACUUCUAUUAAUUCUGGCCAAUAUACUCCUGCAAAUUCUUCAAAUAGGGAGUACCUAUUGGUUGGCUUGGGCUGCUCCUUCAUCAAAGAAUGACGAAUCUGUUAGUGGAUCUACACUAAUGAUAGUUUAUGGAUCUUUGGCUAUUGGUAUAUGUGUCUGCACUGUUAUUGUAAACAUGCUUGUUCUAGCUACAGGAUACAAUACUGCCACCAAUUUUUUCAGAAAAAUGCUUCAGAGCAUUUUCCAUGCUCCAAUGUCAUUUUUCGAUGCAACACCUACUGGAAGAAUACUCAAUAGAUGCUCAACAGAUCAAAGUACUUUGGAGACUCGAAUUGCGCCCUUGCUUGGUAGCCUUAUUUUCGCCACCAUCCAACUUCUGGGAAUCAUUAUUUUGAUGUCUACAGUGGCUUGGGAAGUUUUGGUCAUUUUCAUUCCACUGAUUAUAGCCUCUAUUUGGUAUCAGCAAUAUUAUAUGCCUUUAUCAAGAGAACUAUCACGAUUGAGUAGUAUAUGUGAAGCUCCGGUUAUUCAAUAUUUUUCUGAAACCAUUUCGGGAAUGACAACUAUUAGGAGCUUUGAUCAUGAAUCAAGAUUCCAGCCUACAUAUAUGAAAAUCGUUGAUGCAUACUCUCGUCCUGAAUUUCAUAAUGCUGCCGCAAUGAAAUGGUUAUUAUUACGUCUGGAUGUAGUCUCCUGUAUUACAUUUGCCUUCCUUUUGGUUUUAUCUAUACAUUUUGCAGAACAAAUAGAUCCUGCAAUCGCGGGCUUAGCUGUGACAUAUGGGCUCACGCUAAAUGGUAUAUUAUCUGGGUUGAUAUGGUGUUUAUGCCAUUGUGAAAACAAAAUGAUAUCAGUGGAGAGGAUUCUUCAGUAUAUGUCAAUUCCGAGUGAGGCUCCUCUUAUAAUACAAGGAAACAGGCCAGACAAUUCUUGGCCAUCACAUGGGGAAAUCUGUUUUAAUAAUUUGCAGGUUCGAUAUGCUCCACAUUUGCCACUCGUUCUACACAAUAUAACAUGUACUUUUCCAGGAGGGGUGAAAAAUGGUAUUGUCGGAAGAACAGGCAGCGGUAAAUCAACUUUGAUACAAGCACUUUUUCGGAUUGUUGAACCAACAGCUGGACGCAUCCUGAUUGAUGGCCUUGAUAUUUCAUCAUUUGGACUCCAAGAUUUACGGUCGAGACUAAGCAUUAUUCCUCAGGAUCCAACCAUGUUUCAGGGAACUAUCCGAAGCAAUUUGGACCCACUAGAGCAAUAUACAGAUGAUCAAAUUUGGGAUGCUCUUGAUAAGUGUCAACUUGGAGAUCAAGUUCGGAAAAUGCAUAAAAAGUUGGAUUCCCCUGUGAAUGAAAAUGGGGAGAAUUGGAGCAUGGGUCAGAGACAAUUAGUUUGUCUUGGGCGUGUACUCCUCAAGAAAAGCAAAGUGUUGGUCCUUGAUGAAGCUACUGCCUCUGUUGACACAGCCACUGAUAAUCUUAUCCAACAAACUCUUAAACAUCACUUUUCUCAUUGUACCCUCAUUAUAAUUGCACAUCGUAUCACUUCUGUUCUUGACAGUGACAUGGUCUUGCUUCUCAGUGAAGGGCGCAUCCAGGAAUAUGAUUCUCGAACGAGGUUGUUGCAAAAUGAGUCAUCCUUUUUUUCAUGGCUUGUAUCAGAGUACACAACAAGGUCCUCAUCAAAAUGAGAUUCUCAGCACCCACAUCCAGGAAGAAGUGACUGAAGAAUGCAACAGACAACCGAUCAAAGGAAGCAAUCAGCUAUAAAUUGUGUGUGAUCCUCGAACAAUGUUUUAGCUACGUGCCUACGUCCAUAGGGCAAAAGGAGAACAUAAUUUAUUGAUGUUUUGAAGAAUACAUAAUAAAAUAUAUGGAAUAAGAGGCUAGGUGAAAUAUCGAGAUUUAUAUAGUACCUUGACUAACUCAAUGGAACCCGCGUAAGUGUCAACUUUGUGAUUGAAUCGGGAAGAUGGAGAGAAAGUCGAUGUCCAAUGGCUAAUUGGCUAUCCUAUACUCCUUGCUUCUCAACGAGUUGCAAAGCAUCCAUCUCGGAGGGCUAAAAUGAUCCAAUCUUACAUGUUUGAUCGUUCCUCUUGAGUUUGCUACAAAAGAAGUUAUAAGUCUUUAUGCUCAUUUGUGAGACUGUUAAAUGUAGUAGGUAAUAGGAUUUUCUUGGUUGAAUUUAUCAACUAUGUAAAUCCACUUUCUUUUUUAAAAAUGUUUUUGGUUAAGGAUUUGUUAAACGUCUAAAGGAUUGCAAAUAAGGACCGUCUAAGCUA